AAUCAACGCUGGCGGCGUGCCUAACACAUGCAAGUCGAACGCGAGAGGGCUUCGGCCCUGAUUGAGUGGCAAACGGGUGAGUAACGCGUGGGUGACCUACCUUCGAGUGGGGGAGUAACGUUCCGAAGGGACGCUAAUACCGCAUAACAUCCUGUCUUUGGUACAGAUGGAGAUCAAAGCCGGGGAGUCGUAAGACCUGGCGCUUGAGGAGGGGCCCGGCGUCCGAUUAGCUAGUUGGUGGGGAAUGGCUCACCAAGGCAACGAUCGGUAGCCGGCCUGAGAGGGCGGACGGCCACACUGGGACUGAGACACGGCCCAGACUCCUACGGGAGGCAGCAGUGGGGAAUUGUUCGCAAUGGGCGCAAGCCUGACGACGCAACGCCGCGUGAAGGAUGAAGGUC
rnacentral:rRNA from 1 species